GAUGAACGCUGGCGGCGUGCCUAAUACAUGCAAGUCGAGCGAAUGGAUUAAGAGCUUGCUCUUAUGAAGUUAGCGGCGGACGGGUGAGUAACACGUGGGUAACCUGCCCAUAAGACUGGGAUAACUCCGGGAAACCGGGGCUAAUACCGGAUAACAUUUUGAACCGCAUGGUUCGAAAUUGAAAGGCGGCUUCGGCUGUCACUUAUGGAUGGACCCGCGUCGCAUUAGCUAGUUGGUGAGGUAACGGCUCACCAAGGCAACGAUGCGUAGCCGACCUGGGAGGGUGAUCGGCCACACUGGGACUGAGCCACGGCCCAGACUCCUACGGGAGGCAGCAGUAGGGAAUCUUCCGCAAUGGACGAAAGUCUGACGGAGCAACGCCGCGUGAGUGAUGAAGGCUUUCGGGUCGUAAAACUCUGUUGCUAGGGAAGAACAAGUGCUAGUUGAAUAAGCUGGCACCUUGACGGUACCUAACCAGAAAGCCACGGCUAACUACGUGCCAGCCGCCGCUGUAA
rnacentral:rRNA from 1 species